rnacentral:rRNA from 1 species
AAUCAACGCUGGCGGCGUGCCUAACACAUGCAAGUCGAACGCGAAAGCCCUUUCGGGGGUUAGUAGAGUGGCGUCCGGGUGAGUAACACGUAGGUAAUCUACCUCUGGGUGGGGAAUAACUCGUCGAAAGGCGAGCUAAUACCGCAUAAUGCAGCGGCACCGAAUGGUGAUUAGUUGUUAAAGCGGGGACCGAAAGGCCUCGCGCCAGAGAGGAGCCUGCGGCAGAUUAGCUUGUUGGGAGGUAAUGGCUCACCAAGGCUUCGAUCUGUAGCUGGUCUGAGAGGACGGCCAGCCACACUGGCACUGACACGACGGGCCAGACUCC